GCAACAUUCAUUUCCCAUACAGUACACAUUUAUAUUUUUCAGUAAGAGUGAAAGUAUGACUUGGCUAGGGUGAUACACAGGUGCAAAUGAUGAUCAGCCGCUGGCCAGCAGUUUUGGCGUACUAGACACUGUGGAUCGAGAGGGGAGGAACUGCUUGAGAACUCUUCAACUUUGCUUUUGCUGCUGCGACGAGCGGAGAAAGCUAAUAAGACAGACUGCCAUUUUCGACAGGAGUAAAAUCUUUCUGUGACUUGACCGAGGACGUAAGGUGAUGAGUUACCCCACGCAGCAACCACAAUACCCAGCAGGCUCUGCGCCUCCGCCAAUCGGCUUCGAUGCACAACCACCCCCUUACACACAACAGGUGAAGUUCAACUUAAACGUAUAACGUUACGUAGUAAUUUUCUUCGCCAAGAAGGUUAUGUUUUCAGUCAACAGCAAAAGUGGCAGCGGUUUCGGAAACGAGGGUCAAGUUCAAAAAUGAUUCAAAUGGCGUUUCCGUCGGU